rnacentral:RNase_P_RNA from 1 species
GGAGAAGAUACUAUGUCUGCCCAGCGCCUAUCUGAGGUUACCGCUGAUAACCUCGGAUAGGCGCUGGGAGGAAAGUCCGAACACCGCAGGGCAGGAUACUUCCUAACGGGAAGUCCCGGCAACGGGGAGAAAGCUCCACAGAAACAAACCGCCCAGCAUCUAUUUCGGAUUACCCGAAAUAGAUGCUGGGUAAGGGUGAAAUGGUGGUGUAAGAGACCACCGGGGCCUGGCGUGAGCCGGGCCGCCGGGAAAGCCUUAUCCGGUGCAAUGCCAAAUAGGAAGGCCUUCCGGUUCGUCCGGGGUGAACCGGCCCGGUUCGCAUGGUCUUCGGGUGGGCAGCUCGAGCCGGCCUUGGGCGGAGCGCAGUGCGUUUCGCCUGAAGGGGAACGUUGUGCGUUCUGCGUGUCGCAAGACCCGGCCCAGAUAAAUAGACAUCACGUCGCUUGUUAGGCGGCGGACAGAAUUCGGCUUAUGCUCUUCUCCAGCC